AGCAAACAGAAGAGGACAACACCAGUGGUGAUGGACCCAGACAGCUGAGCAGACGACUGAAGAUGAACAGGUGGAGUGCAUCAGUAUUCAGGUGAUUGUGAA